GAAAGGCGGUGAGAAAAUUCGUUUUCCAACAGGUGGAAAAAGCCGAACAAUGUAUGGCCAACAGGGACCACGAUGGCGCUGUUGGACAUUUUGCAAACGCUUUCAGUGUAAUCGACCACAACGGAGAAUUACUGGAACAAUUGCGUUGCAAAGCCCCGUCGAAGAUCUACAAAAGAGUCGCGACAGAAACGUGCAAACUCAAGACGGUCAUGGCCAUGAUGAUGUGAAUCGUCGCCGACACUGCUGUGUAACCUAACGAAUCAUUAAAUGAAAAUGAAAAACGAACAAUACUCCUAUAUUCUGUCUACAUCUCAUCUGUGUUUAAAAAAAUGGACCAACAAAUAAAAUAUGUAUUGUGGAAAUUGGUAAUGGUGUGAAUUCAAUAUGA